GUGAAAACCCUAGCCGCCAGGGAGCCAAUCCAUUGCUCGCUUUCUUCCCCAAUCCCCUUCGCCCUCUUCCCCGAGAUCCCUUCCGCUCGGCCUCUUCUCUCCACCUCCCAAGUCCCCAGGUCGUCUCCCUGCCACCACCCCCAUACUGGCCCUCUUCUAGCUCCAUCUGACCUGCUCGUCCAUGCCAGCAGGAUGCGGAUGGACGGCUGCCGCUGCACCGCGCGAGAGGAGGCAGGACACCCACGACAGCAGCAGUCUGCUCGACCCUGUCCGCGGCUCAUCUUCUUCAUGGACAACGGCCGUCACAGUUUGAGGUCAGUGCACCCGCCGGAGAGAAGGGAGAGCAUAUGCUGCCAGGUUAUCACUGGUGAACUGGGGUUGGUAACUGGGAGGGUGCACAAAGAUGGAGUACUCGGUGGAUGUGUGGUCGGGGACCAAGCCUACUAUGUCACCAACUCAUUCGAAUUGGUUGACAUGGACAACCAGAUCUAGAGAGUUAUCACAAUAUGCAAAUCUGGGCAAGGUGCUGCUGCAUCCCAGCUUUAGAGAGGUUCCUCCAUGGGCAUUCAUAGAUUUUGUUCUUAGUUGUCUGCCAUAUGAUUAUAUACUGGGAGCUUGGCCUCCGACGAGGAGGCCACUGCUGCUCGCCCGGAUAUUGGUCUUCGACGAGCGCGAGAGGAGGAGGCUACCGUUGCCUUGUACACGGUGGGCUGCUGUCUCGCCCAGCCACCCUCCUUUUCCUCUGCAUCGUGGCCGCCUCAGCAGCAGCUGGAGCCGGCGGACGGCGCCGGGACGGCGGAUCCUGUCACCUUGAGGUGUGCAGCAGGCCGUGAACUGCAGCCUGCAGCCAAGGAUGAAGGCACUUCGGCCGUGGACUGUCUCCUCGUUGCACCGUUUUCCUCAUGCACGGCGGCAACAGCAGGGGACCGACCUCCAAUGACUGCUAUGGCAUGACAUGGAGACGGGGUGGAGUGUGAAACAGUUCUGAACCAGCUACUAGGCAGGUAGUGACUUGGAUUGUGAUACAGUUACAUGAAAGGAGUACAAAUCCAUGACGCUCGCAUCAAGGUAGCCGACACCAUGGCAUCCAUUUUUCUCCCAACCGUGAAUAAAAAUGUAUUUCUGCUACAUAAUCACACUCAAAUUCAUUACUCUUGAUUUUUGCCUCCAACAUUGUGCCUGGCAUUAUGAGAAAGACCCUAAAUGAUGUUCAGUUCAAAGGAUACACAACCGGCAGGAUGGGGGGUGAUGGUACGCCCUCUAGCGGUGCAGUUGAAUCCGAAUAUUUACAUGCAUUCUCUCAUCUUCAGCCCUUCAUAGUUUAAGGUCUGUAGACUUUAAUGCUCACUGGGUCUGGUUUUUUAUAACGCAUCAUUACCUAGCACCGUAACGUUACUUGUCAUUGUAAUUUAUAUGUGAAACACUUACACUUUUUACGCUAGGAUUAGAAAUAUAAGCUAGGUUUGGACGAAUUUGUUUUUACUUUUUGAACAACCUGCAUCUUAACACUGUCAUGCUAUAUGGUUUUAACAACCUGCAACGUAAUUCAUCCGAUCUGUGUUCAGGAGAGAGGUCGGGGGCCAUGGUAUAUUCAGGUAUGGUCUGUUCACAUAUGGAUGCUACUUUAUUUUGCAUCUGAACCGGUGAAGUGCAUUUUUCUUGAAUAUGACAUGCCUUAGGGCAGAAAAGAAGAAUAUAAAAAAGAAAGGGGAGGAAAAAAGGGGGGAAGCAUGCAUCAACGUAGGCCAGCAUUGGCUGGAGGUCCUCACGGACAGGCAUCUUUCAGUUUCUUAGUCACGGUUGCAUUUUGCAUAUCGCGGAGAGUUCAGUUUCUUAGUCAUUGUUGCAGUCAAGGCAAUAUCACAAUACUCCUGUCAAAAUUAGUUUAUAUUUUGAGCCUACCCUCCGUUUUCAUUAAAUCAAAAAUCUUAAGAGUGAUACAAUUUUUACAGGGUAUAUGGGAAUAUUAGCUUAUGUAUCAUGUCUUUUUUUAUCUCUGUAUGCAUGCAUAGAGUAAUAUUUUUCAUCCUUUAGGUGUAUUUGGUGUUAGUUUAAAAGCAAAUUUGUAUGAUAAGUACAGUAAUGGUUUUCUUGCAAUUUACUUUUCCUGUUUUGUUCUGCUUGCGACGGUUGAUUAUUUAGUUCAUCUAACUUCUAUAAAGUGUGACUGUAGAUUCUGUUCAAAAGCAAUAUUUGAGUCAUCUUCAGUCGUAUUAGUUGGCUCUGGUUGUUAUCCUUUUUCAGAGUGUUCAUCUUCAGGUGCUAUGUCAGGUAAUCUGUCUUCACAUGAUAUUUCUUUUCUGAUUCUGCAUCCUACCCACUGCUUUGGAUCAAUAUAAGCUUUUUAAUUUGUAGGUCAUUACAUACAGCCUUUGUCAAAUAUUAGUUCAUCAAUUAAGUUUAUGGUGGAUCAGUAAUCUGAUUUGUUCUAUGGGCAUUCCAGUUCUGAGCCCCAGCCAUCACGUUUGCAUAUAACAUAUAUCGUAAUAUUUCCUAUGUUCGUCGAACAAUGCACGACCAUUUGGAAUUCCGAGGAUGCGUAUAAAUAAUAUCUAUUUCCUAUGUUCGUCGAACAAUGCACGACCAUUUGGAAUUCCGAGGAUGCGUAUAAAUAAUAUCUAGGUAACCAUUCUAGAGUCUUCGCAAAAUUUAUUACUCAUUUUGUAGGCACUUUUAAUUAGUUAUACUAUUAUGCCCCAUAUUUUAAAGUUAAUAUAUCCCUAUGAAGUAAGAUGAAGGAUUGGUAACAACAUUAACAAAUGUGUUUCCAAUAAAAACCAAUCAGGCGGCAGAUGGCAUAUUGAUAUUACUGAAGCAAGAUGAGUUCCCUAGAAAAAGAUAGAAUCCCAUGGGAGUCAUGACACUAAUAUGGUUUCUUUUUUCACUUAUUGAGCUAUAUUUAAUAAUCUUCUUUCUCAUUUCUAGAGUUAUAUGCCUGGCAGUAGUGAACAAUUUGCAAGUGUGAGCAUAAGCCCUUUAGAUGUACCAACGAGUGGAAAGAUUCAGGGAAAGACAAAAUCAAGAUCGACUUGAUUUAGCCCUGUAGCUAUCCAGAGCUUCAUCCUAAGAUACUGCUUAGGUUCUAUAUGAUUGUGUCUAACCCAAAAAUGAAACACUAAUGGAACAUAUCACUUUCUCUUCAAGUCAAACUAUUAAGACAUUUAUAUUAAAAUAAUGAUCGAUCUCCUCUUGAUGAUAAUGUCCUAGAUUUUUUGAAUCUCCUUUCCUUUGAGAGUUAUAUGUUUGGUAGAGCACGUAAUCAUGGUGUAUCAUGUGUCCUGUUCAAUGCCGAAAUGUAUGUAGACUUUUUGUUCCAAGCGUCGCUCCUGUUUCGCCUUCGGGUCAAGAUUAUUUUCUAUGUGCUUAGUUGCUGUUAUAGGGGUGGAGUUGCUUCUCUUUUUAAUCAUAUUUCAUGUUACCAUAAAGAUUAUGCCCAUUUAAUUCAGCUGUGUACAUAACACAUCUAUUU